GACGAACGCUGGCGGCGUGCUUAACACAUGCAAGUCGAACGAGAAUCUGCGGAAAGAGGAUUCGUCCAAUUGAAGCAGAGGACAGUGGCGGACGGGUGAGUAACGCGUGAGGAACCUGCCUUUCAGAGGGGGACAACAGUUGGAAACGACUGCUAAUACCGCAUGACACAUAGGUGUCGCAUGGCACUUAUGUCAAAGAUUUAUCGCUGAAAGAUGGCCUCGCGUCUGAUUAGCUAGUUGGUGAGGUAACGGCCCACCAAGGCGACGAUCAGUAGCCGGACUGAGAGGUUGAACGGCCACAUUGGGACUGAGAUACGGCCCAGACUCCUACGGGAGGCAGCAGUGGGGAAUAUUGGGCAAUGGGCGCAAGCCUGACCCAGCAACGCCGCGUGAAGGAAGAAGGCUUUCGGGUUGUAAACUUCUUUGUCAGGGACGAGUAGAAGACGGUACCUGACGAAUAAGCCACGGCUAACUACGUGCCAGCAGCCG
rnacentral:rRNA from 1 species